ensembl:lncRNA
CUGGUUAAACAGAAUUUUACAGCGAAGUGAGCCAUUCCUAUCACAUGAGAAAUGCAAAACCAUAGGGCUGACUCCCUGGCCUAGUGGUUAAGUUCCAUGUGUUUUGCUUUGGUGGCCUGGGUUCAGUUCCCAGGUGCAGACCUACACUGCUCGUUGGCAGCCAUGCUGUGGUGGCAACCCACUUACAAAAUAGAAGAAGACUGGCAUAGAUGUUUGCUCAGGGCAUAUCUUCCUCAGCAAAAAAAGAAAGAAAGAAAGAAAGAAAUGCAAAACCAGGAAGAGAAAAGGGAUAAAUAGAAACAUACAGCCAUUUGAUAACAACACAAGGUUGGACACAUUAACAUACACUUUAAGCAAUAUUUUAUUGUAGUGGAUUGAUCUAACUACAUUCAAUUAUCAAAACUAAAAGAAAGGAAUCAGAAGCACCCAGCACAGAAUUUCACGGGAAACUCAACAGCUGAAAUCUCAAACAUAACAGGAUUCCUUCACUUAUUCUCACGCACAGUCUGCACCAGCAUAUGAGAAUCUAGUAAUUCCAAGCAGAGGUGCUCUUAGUGUAAAGGGUAGGCUUUAGGGGAAGGAGAAGAGAUUUGGAGUUGCAGGCAGAGACUCUGAACUGAUAUUUUAGAUUAAAACUCUCAGGACAUUCAAUUUUCUUCCAAAUACUUGGAGCAGCUCAUCAAUCAGCACAGCGCUCCAGUCUGAAAACCAAAGCAUCCGCUAUAUAAUUUCACUCUGUGAAGGCCACUCAAGGACAGAACUCAGAACCCGUGUUUCCACAAAGCACCAAAAUUCAAAAGCUGCUACUGAUUUCUUCACUGUUCUAUGUUAGCAGUAACAUAUAUGCUAUAAUUCUAACCCUUAUAAGUAAUCACACCAUUCUUUUCCCAACAGUAAAGUGAAGUUAUCAAAUUUAUGUUAGAGGUCUAGAGGUCAGCUAAUAAAAAUCAAUUUGCCAACAUUAUGGGUGACAUAAACCACGUAUGAUCAAUUGCUUAGGGCUACUGCGUGUACACAGUUCACUGGACGAAAUUUAGGAAACUGGCUCUUUGGUUUCUGUACUUUCCGUAAUAAGAAUCUCAUUCUUUCUUCCACUACAAACUUGGACGUUUUGCGUUUUUUUUUAACAAGUUGUGAAAUAUGCUCCUAAAAUAGUUUAAUUUCUGUUUUAGAAAUCUAUCUUCCAACACUUUUAAAAUCUCACUGGUUAAUUACACUAGUUGAACAAAAAUUCAACACGAAAUGUACAUUGGUAUCUACCUCUACCUGAUGUUAAUUAUCUUGGAAAUUGAAAUCAACAAGCACACAGCACAAAAGUAAAGGUAUCUUACAGCUCCCAUGUUUUUUUGUGUGAGUCAUCUAAGCCGUACUCUUAACACCCAGUUUGUCUCAUAAGCACGUUUGUCAAUACUGAUAAGAACCAUCAGAGGGGAUGGUAAAUAAAAGAUGACGGCAACUUUAACAGCUAGGAAAAGAGUUGAAUUCUAUGCCCCCAAAUUUGCAAAGUCCUCCACGGCAAGAUCAGCCAUCAAAAUUCUCAGUAUGCAAUCAUUUCCUG